rnacentral:rRNA from 1 species
UUGGGAAUUUUCCGCAAUGGGCGAAAGCCUGACGGAGCAAUACCGCGUGAGGGAUGAAGGAUUUUGGUCUGUAAACCUCUUUUCUCAAGAAAGAAGUUCUGACGGUACUUGAGGAAUAAGCAUCGGCUAACUCCGUGCCAGCAGCCGCGGUAAUACGGGGGAUGCAAGCGUUAUCCGGAAUCAUUGGGCGUAAAGCGCCUGUAGGUUGUUUAAUAAGUCUGUUGUUAAAGACUGGGGCUUAACCCCAGGAAAGCAAUGGAAACUACUAGACUAGAGUAUGGUAGGGGUAAAGGGAAUUUCUAGUGUAGCGGUGAAAUGCGUAGAUAUUAGAAAGAACACCGGUGGCGAAAGCGCUUUACUGGACCAUUACUGACACUCAGAGGCGAAAGCUAGGGUAGCCAAAGGGAUUAGAUACCCCUGUAGUCA